UACGAACUGUGCGAACGUUAUUCGGAAUUACUGGGCGUAAAGCGCGCGUAGGCGGCUUUGUAAGUCAGAGGUGAAAUCCCGGAGCUCAACUCCGGAACUGCCUUUGAGACUGCAUCGCUUGAAUCCGGGAGAGGUGAGUGGAAUUCCGAGUGUAGAGGUGAAAUUCGUAGAUAUUCGGAAGAACACCAGUGGCGAAGGCGGCUCACUGGCCCGAUACUGACGCUGAGGCACGAAAGCGUGGGGAGCAAACAGG
rnacentral:rRNA from 1 species